rnacentral:rRNA from 1 species
CCUACGGGGGGCAGCAGUGAGGAAUAUUGGUCAAUGGGCGCGAGCCUGAACCAGCCAAGUAGCGUGAAGGAUGACUGCCCUACGGGUUGUAAACCUCUUUUGUCAGGGAGCAACGCCGGCUACGUGUAGCCGGACUGAUAGUCCCUGAAGAAAAAGCAUCGGCUAACUCCGUGCCAGCAGCCGCGGUAAUACGGAGGAUGCGAGCGUUAUCCGGAUUUAUUGGGUUUAAGGGGGGCGUAGGUGGAUUUUUAAGUCAGUUGUGAAAGUUUGCGGCUCAACCGUAAAAUUGCAGUUGAAACUGGCAGUCUUGAGUACAGUAGAGGUGGGCGGAAUUCGUGGUGUAGCGGUGAAAUGCUUAGAUAUCACGAAGAACUCCGAUUGCGAAGGCAGUUCACUGGACUGCAACUGACACUGAGGCUCGAAAGUGUGGGUAUCAAACAGGAUUAGAUACCCUUGUAGUC